UACGUAGGGUGCAAGCGUUGUCCGGAAUUAUUGGGCGUAAAGAGCUCGUAGGCGGUCUGUUGCGUCGGCUGUGAAAACCCGGGGCUCAACUCCGGGCCUGCAGCCGAUACGGGCAGACUAGAGUUCGGCAGGGGAGACUGGAAUUCCUGGUGUAGCGGUGAAAUGCGCAGAGAUCGGUAGGAACACCCGUGGCGAAGGCGGUCUCCUGGGGCCUUCUUGACGCUGAGGCGCGAAAGCUGGGGGAGCGAACGGG
rnacentral:rRNA from 1 species